UCUCUUCUCGAAAAACCGAACGUGUGAUUUCAAUCUGUAGGAAGAAUUUAUAGAGAUUAAAGGAAAGAGGAAAGAGAGGAGAGAGAUGGAUGUAUAAGCAACGGCCGAUUUCCCCAGUUGUUUCCCCAUUCUCUCGUUUAAAAACGCAACGAGAUAGAGAGAGGGAGGGUUCGGUGCCAGCGGGUCGGAAUCGAUGUUCCAGUUAAAACUGCACGCGGCAUGUUAAUGAGCGUUAAUGGAAGACUAACGCGGGCAUCGAGAGCUACGGAAAACGAGAAUGAANNNNNNNNNNNNNNNNNNNNGAGAGAGAGAGAGAGAGAGAGAGAGAGGGAGGGAGGAAACUAUGCCAGCGAAGAAAUAAUUACGUAGUUCCUUUCGAGGACGCCAUCGUUUUCGUAGACUGUAUUCUUUUUUGAGCUGAGAAUUUUAUUCAAAUUAAUCGGCAUAUCGAGUUAAGUCGGAAGUUAAAACGAUUUAGAUUCUUUAUCAAUUUUUAUAAUUCGCGAUAAAUUUAAGAAUAAUUAAGUUCAUCUCUAUGUAUCUCUGCAUCUAAAAGAAGCGUCAAGGCCUCUUUCGAUAGGUGAAAGAUAUAGGUUGAACGUAAUAGUUUUACGAACGCGAGGCAAGUACAGAUUUUUCUCGCCGAAGCGAGCGCCAUCCUCCUCUCGUCUCGUAUAGUAUCAUAUAGUUGAAAUAUCGCGAAAUACGAGCACAACGCUCCCAAUCAGUGUUCUACUGUUCUCUGAGCGGAUCCAAAUAACGAAUACGAUAAAUUUCUCAGAAACUCGUUUGCCUAACUCCACAUCGAGAUUUUUUUCUAUGCGCGUAGGUUUCAAGGCUGUUGUUAAGAAUGCAACGCGAUUUCAUCUCGAUACGUCGAUCGCGAACGAACGUUGGCAAAAUGCUAAAUCAACGGAUACGUGACUCGAGACGCUUUUUCGUUAGCUGUUCGUAUUUGCUCGUCAAUUAUUACGAUCAUCGAUCCGUUAAUUACCAACUUUUCUCUUGUCUUUUAUCACUUCACAGCAACUUUUUUCGCGCGAAAGAUAGAGUGAAUCAUCUUUUCUAGUAUCUUCGCUUUUCUUAAGAUUUACAAUUCCUGUCGUACAAUAAGCUUAUUUGAAGAGAUAGCUAAUUGCCAUAUUCGAUGAGCCUCGCGUAUCGGAUUAUCGAACAGCGCUUUGGAUUUUAUUUUCGCAAUCGGUCGAUUAAUUCAAAUUAAGACUUUGCACAACUGGAUAUGUGUUUCUUUUCAUCACGACGUACAGCUGGAUUGCCCUAUUGUCGUUUGCAAAAAUAGACGUUCCGUGAAACUUGUUCGGUUGCGAUGGAAAUGUAGUGCAACGCCGUGGACGGAUAUAAACGGAAUGAGAAGAAAUUCAAGUUUUUGGCCAUGUCGGUGCUAAUGUAAGCGGAAGAAAAAAAAAGUCGAGCUCGAUUUCUUCUACUCUGUUUAAAUUUAGCCUAUGAGCGCGUCCUUCAAUUUAAUCCGCUCUUCUUGACCCAAAAGCGUUUUCAUCCUCGCGUAAAGACUACCAACGAACGUAUUACUACACGACGUAGCAAUUAUUAAUGACCCGUUAAGAAGGAUGAAAUUCGUUUUCUUUUUAUGUGCCUACAUUCGCUUUGUUUCCAUUCAAACACACGUGAAUACGUAGAUGGCGUUACGAAAGUAACCUCAAAAGUUGUUCAAUAUAUUUAGCGUGGUGCGAAAUUCCUGCGAUUUUGUUCAAAACGUCGUUGCUUGGUUUCCAGUUUACGCGAUAGAUUCGUGCAAUUUCGAAAGAGAUAUCGGAUCAGAGAUUUUGUCGAGGAGGCAAAGGAUUGAAAAGAACGGCACACCAACGCUUCGAGGAACGUUCCAUCGCAUUCUGUCCUCCUCUAUUUGAUCCGAUUGAUUCCACUCUGAUAUGGAAUACAUUAUUAAUAUCGAGUGUCACCACGGCAUCUCGAUAUCGAAUGUCUCGUUCGACUGCAGAGGAAAGUCUUCGAGCUUGCGACCGUUCCACAUUUUCAACUAUAUUUAUUUAUUAUGCGCUGAUAAUAAUUCCAACAGAAGAAGAACUUCUUAUGAAAAAGAUCCGACGAUAUUCUCUCGGACAAAGCACGAUGAAAGAUUUAAAUAGAUACAAACUUUUUCUCUUCUUAUUCACAAGAGGAUUGGAGUACCCGCCGUUCGAUCGAAAUUUCCAUCUUAAGUUAAGA
rnacentral:lncRNA from 1 species